rnacentral:rRNA from 1 species
AUUGAACGCUGGCGGCAGGCUUAACACAUGCAAGUCGAACGAGUGGCGGACGGGUGAGUAAUGCUUGGGAAUCUAGCUUAUGGAGGGGGAUAACUACGGGAAACUGUAGCUAAUACCGCGUACCAUAGGAUGAGCCCAAGGGGGAUUAGGUAGUUGGUGAGGUAAAGGCUCACCAAACCGACGAUCUCUAGCUGGUCUGAGAGGAUGACACGCCACACGGGGACUGAUACACGCCCCAGCCCCCUACGGGAGGCAGCAGGGGGAAAUAGUGCGAAUGGGGGGAAACCGGACGCGCCCAUCCCGCGUGAAGGAACAAGGCCUUCGGGUUGUAAAGUUCUUUCGGUAGGGAGGCGUUAACUACAGAAGAAGCACCGGCUACCUCCGUGCCGGCAGCCGCGGUAAUAC